rnacentral:rRNA from 1 species
UACGUAGGGGGCAAGCGUUGUCCGGAUUUAUUGGGCGUAAAGAGCGUGUAGGCGGCCUGGUAGGUCUGGUGUGAAAACUCGAGGCUUAACCUCGAGAUGUCAUCGGAAACCAUCUGGCUAGAGUCCGGAAGAGGAGAGUGGAAUUCCUGGUGUAGCGGUGAAAUGCGCAGAUAUCAGGAAGAACACCAAUGGCGAAAGCAGCUCUCUGGGACGGUACUGACGCUGAGACGCGAAAGCGUGGGGAGCGAACAGG